AUUUGCUUAAAAGUAACACUGUAAAUGUUGUAAUAAUGCGCUUAUGUUUUAAUCCAAGAAAAUGGGUCUUCUAGGGAAAAUGCCAUAGGCUGAACUUCUCAAAAACGCCAAAGAAAUUUUACAGGUGACGUCGAUAUUUUUGAAAUUUCCGCGAUCUCGCAAGAAUGAAAAUCGAGGUUUUUUCGUGCGCAGGUAAGUAGCAGAAGAAAUAUCCGCCAUUUUGCUCGUUCAUUGAAUUAGUGCUAAAUAAAACAUUGCAAGUUUAAAACAUAUUUUCUGGUUUGGUUUUUUGAGUCAAAAUUAAAAGGAGUACUUUCAAAAAUGCUCUCAUAUUAAUCACAAAUAACAUCAUCAUAACAGACACGGAC